rnacentral:rRNA from 1 species
AUACGGAGGGCACAAGCGUUGUUCGGAAUUAUUGGGCGUAAAGCGCGUGUAGGCGGCUUGGUAAGUCGGAUGUGAAAGCCCGGGGCUCAACCCCGGAAUUGCAUACGAAACUGCCUCGCUAGAGUCUCGGAGAGGAGGGCGGAAUUCCCGGUGUAGAGGUGAAAUUCGUAGAUAUCGGGAGGAACACCAGUGGCGAAGGCGGCCCUCUGGACGAUGACUGACGCUGAGACGCGAAAGCGUGGGGAGCAAACAGCAUUAGAAACCCCAGUAGUCC